GUAGGUGGCAAGCGUUGUCCGGAAUUAUUGGGCGUAAAGCGCGCGCAGGCGGUCCUUUAAGUCUGAUGUGAAAGCCCACGGCUCAACCGUGGAGGGUCAUUGGAAACUGGGGGACUUGAGUACAGAAGAGGAAAGCGGAAUUCCACGUGUAGCGGUGAAAUGCGUAGAGAUGUGGAGGAACACCAGUGGCGAAGGCGGCUUUCUGGUCUGUAACUGACGCUGAGGCGCGAAAGCGUGGGGAGCAAACAGGGAUUAGAUACCCUGGUAGUCCACGCCGUAAACGAUGAGUGCUAAGUGUUAGGGGGUUUCCGCCCCCCUUAGUGCUGCAGCUAACGCAUUAAGCACUCCGCCUGGGGAGACGGCCGCAAGGCUG
rnacentral:rRNA from 1 species